rnacentral:rRNA from 1 species
CCUACGGGAGGCAGCAGUGGGGAAUCUUGCGCAAUGCGCGAAAGCGUGACGCAGCAACGCCGCGUGGGGGAAGAAGGCCUUCGGGUUGUAAACCUCUUUCAGUUGGGACGCGGUACCUUCAGAAGAAGCCCCGGCUAACUACGUGCCAGCAGCCGCGGUAAUACGUAGGGGGCAAGCGUUGUCCGGAAUCAUUGGGCGUAAAGAGCGUGUAGGCGGCCCGAUAAGUCCGCUGUGAAAGUCCAGGGCUCAACCCUGGAAUGCCGGUGGAUACUGUCGGGCUCGAAUCCGGAAGAGGUGAGUGGAAUUCCUGGUGUAGCGGUGAAAUGCGCAGAUAUCAGGAGGAACACCAAUGGCGAAGGCAGCUCACUGGGACGGAUUGACGCUGAGACGCGAAAGCGUGGGGAGCAAACAGGAUUAGAUACCCUUGUAGUC